rfam:Culex pipiens quinquefasciatus supercont3.190 genomic scaffold, whole genome shotgun sequence.
GGCUCCGUGGCUUAAUGGUUACGGCUUCUGCCUCACAAGCAGAAGGUUCAGGGAUCAAAUCCCGGUAGGUACCU